rnacentral:misc_RNA from 1 species
UUCCCGUUGCUGGCAUCACCGGAAGUUUGUCUGCAAGUGGCAGAUCGUUCUCUCUUUUGUCAGAUUUGUCGAUGUUUUUAACAAGAGACAUCUAUGUCUCUGCUUCACCAUGCCAAAAACACGACUGACAGCAGCUCUCUGCAGCCGGAAAAUUGACACAACAUCAAAAUCAAAUGGGGACUCCUCAUCCUCUACAUCACCACCAUCAAAGGCAGCUUCAGCAGCUGUUUCUCUGAUUGAAAAGAAAACAGAGGAGGCACUACCCUCUGUGGGAAAAACAGGCAGUCUUUCACCACAGCUACCUAAAGCCUGCACUUCAAAUCCUAAGGAAGACGCAAAGAAGAGUCCACACCUGUCAGUACUCAGCCUGAGAAAGCCAAAGUCAAGGAAUAGUUCUGAAAAGCCAUCGUUACCAUCAACUGAUCUGUCACAAGCACCACAGCCGCUACCUCCAGACCCAGGCACAGCUCAGUCCAAACCAUCCAGACUUCGUCUGCCUAAUUCCAGUCCCAUGGACUAUAAUGUCUGGAAUGACUCAGUAGACCCUUCUCCUUCAGAGUCUGAGUCUGAUUCUGAUCAGGACCUUCCAGACAUGCUGUCCUGUCCAGAAGUAUCCAAGGCACUUCCACAGAAAGGUGAUCCUGUCUGGGUAAAACACAGGAACUACAAUUUCUGGCCUUGUUUGGUAUUAUCUAGCAACCAUAAAACAAAAAAGAUUAAUGUCCUCUUUCUGGAUCAAACCAAUGGCAUUAACGUGCGUUUAGGGGAGAGGAUAUACCUGAAAUACAACCGGAAAAAAGUGCUUCCUUAUAACCACCAGAACAAGAAACAGUUUGAGGCUGAAGGAAGCUCACUUACUGGACCAUUGCAGAAGAGUUUCCAGGCAGCUAUCCUAAACAUGGAAGAUUAUCUUACAAAGCGAGCUUUAGGGCACAUCACACCUUAUCACCAUUUCUUCGGUGAUACUUCUGCCAGUUCUAGUGGUUUGGUUGGUGACAGCAUGAGCAAUGUCACACAUGGAAAUGAGGGAUCACUUUCAGAAACAAAUGAUAAACAAGAAGAGAACCGGCCAUUAAAUUGUACAGCAGACACAACUACACCAGCAAACAAAUGCAGGAAUCCCACUCGUAAGCGGACAUUGACCCCUGAUGAAAGAAGGGAGAGACGUAAAAAGACCAACGAACCCUUGGUUGACUACAUAUGUGCAGAAGACAUGAAGGAUUACCUUUUCAAGAUCUGGAAGAGGCACAUACCAUCUGAGCGACAUGAGAAGUUUUUCAAGGGACAGAAAGAAAGGCGGGAACUACAGGAAACAAGUUUUGGUCCCAUCGAUGACGAUGACCAGCUUGACAAAAUCAUAGAGAAUCUUGGACAAUGGUGGCAAGAGGCAUCAGGAGAGACAAUUCCCAACACAGACUACUUGUUUGGUGUAUGGUUACCUGAGGCAAUCGUGAAAGGGCUGUGCAAAUUUAAAAAAGUUGGAAUGACAAAAGCAUGGGAGUAUUUCAGACAAGGGAUAAAGCUGUCCAAAGUAGAACGGAAAGAGAUUCAGGACUCCCUGUUGGGAAGAAUAAUACAUACCACCUAGUUCCGGGUGAGUGAGGCAUAUGGCAUGGAUUCUGAAAUUAUGUUCUUCACACUUUUGAAGGAUUCUGGGAUUGUUUGUAUUUAUAGUUGAAGGCAUGGUGAAAGGGAUGCCCCCUUUGAAGACAGCAGUGUACCAGACUUGCAGCUCACCAGAUCUUCCAUGUUAAUGUCAGUGAAGAGAUGACUUUAUGUUGCUUUCUGGUAUUUAAAAAAAAAAAAAACCUUUAUCUGUAUUUCUAGUCAAGCUCAUCCUCACCUGUUGUACCUCUCAGGUAUAUUUUGAAGCCAGUCAUCUCACAUAAGCCAGAGUGCAACUGUUUUUCCAUGAUAAUCCAUGGAGGUCAUGUCUGUUUGGUAUGCCAGCCUCAGGAGAAGAUUUUGAGAUGUUUUCAGGUAAUUAACUCAGGCUUCAUAUACUGUAUUUUGUACACAAAUGCUCACUUAUUUCUUCCUGUUAUUUUUUUAGUUCCUUUUUUUUUUAUUUAAUUAAUUGAAAAGUAGUUAAUUAAAAAAAAUGCCCAAAAAAAUGUCGAACAAGCUUUCCAGAUAGUCAUAGUAUCAAACUUUUGCACCGAGAAGACAUUAAAAACUGAAAAUUAUGAAGAUUAUUUUUGUAUUGGUAGAUUCAUUGAAAUUAACCUCAUUGAUAGCAAAUUUAAAAAAACACCCUCAUUUAACAUUAUUCUUUGUCAACUCUAUUCACUUCAACACGGAAGAAGAAAAAAGCACCUGGUAGUCUGAUUAUUGUUGUCAUAUAUGGCAUGUUGACGUAUAGUGUAUUUUAUGAAGAGAAUUUAAGUCUAUUGUUGUGGACACAGUUGUUAUGAACAUGUAUUCAUGAUAUGUUGCUUCAAGACAACAAUAAAAUCUCACUAUUCUCCUUACUUAUAUAAAUCAGAUCUGGACUGUUUAAGAUAAAGAUUUUUUUAUGUAGGUGGCCUUCAAAGCAGCAUUUUAUUCUGAUAAUAUUUGUCAUAAAAAUUUAGUAAAUAUUUCUAUCGAGCAUAGUUUGACAUGUAAUAGGCAUCUUAUGACUAUUAUUAUUAAAUUGGCUUUUGGGUAUUCUAAAUAAUAUGAAUAUAAAGAUGUACACAAGUAUAAUGCUCUGCCACAACACUAGAGUUAUACAUGUCCUGACCAUGAGUGUGCAUAACGUGUCUGUGUUUACCUUGUGUGUGGGUAGUUGUGUCUGUUGUAGAAGUGGGUUUCUUACAUGAAAAAUGGGUGCAUGAUGUUCAUGAAUGCCUUUAUGUUGUUAGGUCUGUCUAUCACUUCUGUAAAGCAAUUUGGAUAAAUCAUUGGAAAAAUGCUAUAAAAAUGUUCAUUGUUAGUAUUAUGCUUAAAGCGUAUUUCAAUUACAUGAAAAAUGGAAACAGUAGAAAGCAUACAACAAAGAAAAACAAUGAAAGCUGCAGAUGAAACAAUAGCCAGAUGAAAACCUGUGGCCUGAAAUCCCAGAUGUUUGCAGAUAGAAAGAUAUUAAAUAUUUCAGGUAUCCAUUUAAUCCCUUUUUUUUCAGGGAAUUUAUAGUAUUUCCAGCUGAGUCUGGACUGAAUAAUAUUUUUGUUUAAGAAAUAUAUAAUCAAAAAUUUUUAUUUGAUGGGAGGUUUGGAAUAUCACAUAUGCUACAGAUAAUUUUGAGUUUCAUGCAUCAAUGAUAGCUGAGCUUGUGGCUGUAAAAAAUUUUGUUGUUUCUUUUUUGUGAAAGGGGAUAUUUAAGAAAACUCUUCUGUUGUUAUGCUUCUAUUCUGCUUGUUAAAGUCUCUGAUGUACGUUGUUGUAUUGAACCUAUGAAAUUGUACAUAUUGCUGUCUUGGAUAUAACAUUGAUAUACACAUGGUCACAAACCAGGCAGUUUGGCUGCUAAACAAAAUGUUUUGAACAAAUGUGCAGUUCAUCUUGAAAAGUUUUCUCCGUAUAGCUUUGUAAAAGUCUUUAUAAAUAUGGAAUCACACACUGCAGAUUUUACAGAGGUAAUCCCAUCUGUACAUAUAUCUUACAAAUUUGUGGUGAUGUUGUUUCUUUGUUUUAUAUGCUUGUUAGUAAGUACUUUGCUUGAGAUUGUUUGUUGUGAUGAAUCAUAUGUAAUAGGGGAACAAUGUGGAAGAGUAUCACACAAAGGGAUCCUUUGUCAUGACAACAUUGAUAACUACAGGUGAAUCAUUAAUGAAGGAGGAAAUUCCCACCAUAUGCUUGAUUCUUCCGUUGGAAUACUCCAUUUGGUGAUGUCAUUAUUAACAUGGAUCACAAAGAGUAAUAGUUCUCUUAUCUGUAAGAGACUGCUGAAGAAAAGUCAUUAAUACUGUUAAGGUUACUGCAGUCAAAAACUAUUAUACUGACAUUUUAUAAAGAGCAUCAUAUUUCUUAUCUAAAUUCAUACUUUAUGUAAUCAGAAGACCUUUUUUUCAUACAAAACAGUUUAAAAUACAUCUUUGGUAAAAAUGCUUUUGCAAGAUAAAAGCAAAAACUUCACUAAUCAAUUUUAAAUACAUUAGCUACACCACUUGUGAGGAAAAAUACAGCUGAAUUUACACACUUUCUAAAACAAAUGUGUACAGAAAUUGUUUAAAUUAUAUUGCCACUUCAAGAACAGGUUAAUACUACAAUAACAGUUUGUGAUAAGAGUGAAGGUGUAUUAACAGUAAUAUUAGGUCAAUUUAAGGAUAGAUUUUCUUGACACUUUCUGUGGAUAGCUUUUUUUUCCCCAAAGCAGGCAAAGAAAGGGAAAAUGCUUCAUGUGUCUUGCCCUUGUAGAAGGUAGCAUUUAUGCGGCAAGACCCACUCUGUGUUAUGUCGAGCCAUGGUGGGUAGGACAUCUGGGUUAUAUGGGUAGGAAUUGCCAGUCUUACAUUAUGUAACAAGCAUACACACACCACUUCUAGGACAACUGAUAGAAAAGUAAAGAUUCUGCAGACUAUUUCAUUAUAAAAUUUUGACAGUAACCAUUCUGCUCAGAGGUUUGAACAAUACACUAAGCUUGAACCUCAGUAGCCCAAGAUUGUGAACAAGAACCCGAUGUUAAAUGGAUUGGAGUAGUCAUGUGACUUCAAAGGGGCAGCAGUGCAGGAUGUGCCUUAGCCUUAUAGUAAUGCCUGUGCUUUCCUGCUCAGAACACAUUUACUGUACUGGAAGGCCAUAAAUUCAACAGUUAAUAUGUGGACCACAAUAGGCAUUUGUGAAUUUAAACAUAGAACUUGAUAUAAUCAAACCUAUAGAUUAUUUUUCAGAAGUCUAAGCUUAUUAAUUAACGUGAUAUGGAGAGCUGUGUUUGUUUUCUUACCAAAUAUAAAUCUUCUGUUUUAUUGAAGAUUAAUAUGUGCAUGGUCACUUCUUAUUGCCCCUGCUGUACUGUGCAAUUUGUAUUCUGUACCUGAUUUUGCUUUUCAAAUGAAAAAAAUUAUUUUUGAAGGGAGAGGGCAUUGGAGAAUGAUGCAUUGGUAAAUAAAAUAUUUGCUGCUUUAUUGCUUUACCCAGUUUUACAGUUCCAUCCCUAGGUAAAUAUUGUUAUUUAAGUACUUGUGCUUGUAAAGUUAAUGGUUUACCCUUCUGUGUAGUGUUAUGUUUAGCUUAUUUCUAUGAUGUUAGUACUCUGGUGGUAUUAUGUUUACGCCAUAUCAGUGGCAUAAAAUAGGUUGGUUCUAUAAUUGUCACUCACAGCUGGCAAUACACAUUGUUGUUAUGCUUUGGUAUUUGUCUUCAGGAAAACCAUUGUAUAAAAAGGAAAAAAAGAAAUCAAGAUGCGAAAAAAAAAGCCCAACGAAAAAAAUGGGAGUAGAUUGUAAGAAAGAGGAUUGAUACAAUGUCAUAUUUAUACAAACAAAAAUAUUUUAAAAUAGUGUAGUGUCUUAAUUAUAAACCAUAAUUAUGUUCAAUCUCGUUAUCAGUAGAUGAGAUUAAUUUGUUUAUAAUUAUUGGGUAAUGUUGGUGUUGAUUUUGAUAUUAGCCAUGUUGAUUUGAAACCCAUACUUUUUCCCCUACCUCUUUUUUUUGUAAGCAAAGAGUCCUUGGUAUAUGGAAUAAUGGAUAAUAGAGAAGAAGUUUGUUUUGCAUAUAUUUUCAUUUGCUGUGGUAAAAUGUGAAUAAGCCAGCAUCCCUGAUUGAGAGUUAAAGUACUAAAGUGUGCAUUAGAUCUUUAAUUUAAAAAUAUGUCAAAGAUUCAGAAAUAUAAGAGGUAAAUGAUCUCAAAUCUACAAAGGUAUUUUGAGUUUUUGCUACAUUAUUAAAAGCUUGAAUAUGUACUUCAGUGCAUUAUGACCCAAUUUUAAAGAGGGGCUUAGCUUUAUGUUCUUUGAGUUAUACCACCCUCUUGAGAUAUGAAAGAAGGGUGUUUAUGUGUGUUGAUGCAUGCAGUUUGUUUUUUCUUCUCUGUAUCCCUCUUAUGCCCCAGUCACCUUUUUUCCCCUUCUCUUCCCCUCUCCCAUUCUCUUUCACUUUCUUCCUUUGUCUUUCUCUUACUCACACCCACUGUAAUGAAAGUUUAAGUUACCUAAGACUCAUUGAGUCAAAGUACAGACCACAUUAGAAAAAUGCAUUCUGAUUUCUUUUAAUUCAGAUGUAUAUUGUCAUCAAAUAUCAUUAUAUUUAACUUUGCUGCUAGAAACAAAGAACCACUGUUUUGAUACAACAAGCUUUUAUGUUUCUAAUAAAAGUCAAAUAUUCCAUUGGACAUUGAUUGUUCCUGCAUUUUCCACUCCCUGAUGCAGUGAUGAUGUAAAACAGUCUUUAAAUAUAAAGCUAUAAAAUUUAUUUUUCAGGGAUUGCUUGUGCAGGUAUGUAAGAAGAGGAGUGGGGAGAGAGUCAGAGAUCAAGUAAAUCUCAAAUGUUACAAAAAAAAA